CCCCGGGAAGGGGCGGGGCUGGGCCCCUGCAGCCCGGGCUGCGGUUGGGGAGGCGCAGGCCCUCGGAGGGGCGUGGGGAGGGAGGGCUUGGCGGGCCUGAGCGGGGGAGGGGGAGACCGUUAAAGUCCGGCACCGCGCCCACAGGAAGCUGCUUGGGCGACGAGCUAACUCCACUUGUUGCCAGACUCUCGGCUGGGGAAGACCUUGAAGACCAUGUGGUCCAACUUCCAAUGUGCAGAUGUGGAAAGUAAACCCAGAGGGGAUGGGACUUGUCCAAAGUCGCAGCAGCCGGCUAGCGGCUUGGUCAGGGCUGUCCUCGGGGACUCUGGGCUGCCCUUGACCCUACAGGCGUCUUGCCUCCCCGCUCCAGGAGUCCCCUUAGGCCAUUCGUAGGGUUUGAGACCUGUUCUGAAGUCUGACUUAGGGAAGGGCUAAGAGACUCCCGUUAGAUCCCUGUCCAUAGCUACCGGGUACUUGAAGUAGAAGUGUUUCGUUCACCCUGCAGGGUACCCUUGUACACGCACAUCCUCGAGUCAAAGAAUGUGCAUAGGCCAAAAGCUCCGCGGUUCUUGGCCUUGGAAAGUUCAGAGUCCUGGGAAAAACUCAAGCCCUCCCCCCCACCCCCUUGGUAGGAAAAUGCACAUAGAGAACAUGUGUGUCGGGUUUCUUGGCUUCUCCAGUAUUGGCAGGUGGGCUCCAGGUUGAUUUCCUAAGCGUAAAUUUUCAGCGUAUGGAUCUAGGAUGGGUUGGAUGUAACUGGCUUCAGCUCCGUUGUAUAUCCUGAGCUUGUGAAAUAAUCGCGCUCCACCUGCCACCCUCGGGAAACCUCGGAGGAAGUCCUUCGGGAGAACUGGGGAAGCUUAGCCAACUACGCCUGGCUCCGCUGGAACCAUCUUCGCGGCUCUGAGGCCACUCCCCAGCCCCCUCUCCCCCCGUGACUGCUGACUCCCCGGAGCUGAGCCCUAACUAACCCCAGCCUCUGCCGCAUCUUCUCACCGCAUCUUCUCACCGUGGCACAACUGCCCCAGGGAAAAACGAGCUGAUUGUGAAAUGAAGGAGAAGAAAACUGGAUUUCAGUCUUACGCUGGCACAUCUGCUGUUUGAACCUGACCAAGCUUCUUAGCCUGCACCAGUCAGCACUCCCCAGUGUCUGCUUCUUCAAGGAGACACUGAUGCCGCUGAAAGCCCUGCUCCUGUGUGCGGCGUUGUGACUCGGGUGCCGGCGCCCAUCGGGCAGAGCGUGCCCCGCUUUAGUUCUUCAGUCAGAGCCCCCCGAGCCGCACGUGCUGUCCGCUGCUGCUUCUGCUGUGAAUCCCCCGUCUUCCAUUAGGGCACGGCCAGCGUUCACUUUUCCCGUGGGCGUGGGCGUGGACGUGGACGUGGCUGGUCUGCUGCUGUGGGCACCGUCCUCAGUGCCGUCUUGUCCCUUGUUAGACAGUCUGUGCCAGCAGUUAGGAUGUCCAAGUCCUGUAUUGCAAUGCAACCCCUGGGUUCGACACUGGCUCCAGCUCCUCCUAACUCCAGCUAUCUGUAUUUCCCAAUGCUUUGAUACCAGGGGCCGUGCUGACUCCAGACAGACUGCCUCUCCCAGGCCGAUUCUUGGGGUGGCCAUUGUAAAAUCAUUACUUCUCUUUUUCCUUGACCUGCCAGUGACCUUUUUAAAAUCCUG